GGCGUGGUCUGAGUUGGGCCCGAGAAGGUUUCAGGGAUGGGCACUUGGUUGAGGAAGCAGAAGCAUGGCGCAUGACUCUGGCCGCAGAGGACAAGGAGCUUUGGGCAGAGAAGGGCCUAUGGGUGCAGAGUUCAUCUGCUUGACAGGAGUGAACCGUUGAAACCCACGCUGGUGAUAAGGGAUUACGCAUCUGCCGCGCUCCGCUAACUAGCAAUUGGUGCUUGGACAAAGUGUCACCUUCGCCAAGGCACUGUCUCCCCAAGGAAGUCGCCUGCAAGCCUGAGUGCUUUGGUGACAUGAGGUCGCUGCUAGUCCCGUGUGUUUCCACCUGUGACAACGACUUUGGGAACCCUUGGUCAAGAAAAUGUACUUUGCCAGGAAUGGUGGCACAUGCCUUUAAUCCCAGCAUUCAGAAGGAAGAGGUAGGUGGAUCUCGAGUUCAGCUUGAUCUACAAAACUAAUUCCAAGACAGCCAGGGCCAUUUUGCAGAGUAACUCGGUCUUGAAAAACCAAUAUAUAUA